ACACACGGUAAGUCGAGGACUGCCUGUAUUUACCCUUUAAACAUUUCAGAAGCAGCAAUUACAGUAGCACUUUGGAUGCCGAUUUACCAAAGCUACAUUUUGAUUGGUUGUUAGAACUUUUUUGGUGAUGUCAUAUCUUUAUAUCAACAGCCCCAAGUGGUGCACUGCUGGGAAAUAGCACAGAUUAAUUUUCUUUAUGCUGACUGGGCCAAAUUCAUCCUCAGUGUAACUUCAUUGGCUUCAGUGGAGUGACAACAUAGUCCAGCAGAGUGGUUGAUACACAAUGAAAUGUGUACUGUGGAGUUAUACUGUAGCCCUUCCAAUUCCUUUCUCUUCAUAUGCUCAUGCUUCCCUCCCUCCCUGCCUUCUCCCUUCUUUUCCCCAGAAAGCUUUUGACUUCUCCUUCUUUCUCCUCUUCAUCUGCCACUUGCCUCUCAUUUCCUUUCCCCCAGCCUGUAAACUUUAACCGCUACAUGAGACACAGUCCUGGGACCUCUGAAAGUGUUCUUACUUCAGGUUUGCAAAUAGCAGUUAAUCUCAAGGGAGCACGUCUGUUUGUCUCGCACUAAUGAGCACUGCUGCCAGGCUGAGAAGGGAAGUCAGUGGUUUCCCCCUCAAACAUUGUGGCUAGCUUUCUUCCAGCAGCACUCUGAAGGAAACCACUACUUCCCUUCCCAGCUGCACCCUGACAGGCAGCAGUCUCAGAGAAGUGGCUAAGCACCUCUGGAGCAAACUUGCUCUGGAGAAUCUGAAGUGAACAGCUGCUUUCAGGGUCCCAAUUCAGCUUUCCUACUAAUAAAUGAAAGGAUAGGAGGAAAGCAAAGGAAGAGGAGGACAGAGAUGAGAGGAACUUCAAGGCAAACAGACAGAUCCUUUUCAGCUGCCCUACCCCAAUUAGCCAGCUGCCUUUCCAGUAGCAGUUUGUGGUCUAACAGCCACUCUUAACUCACUUGGGACCUGAUCCUGCCAUUUUUACUUACUGAAAACACAUACGGCAGUUUAUAUAGUGCCCCCAAAGUGAACGGGCGGGAGCUUUACAAACAGAGCUUACUUCAACAGGGGUCUUAAAGAGUACUGAGUGGUUAAGGAAUACUGGGUCUGGCCCUUAAGAUUAGAUGCCUUCCAGACCUUAAGGAAACCAGGAAUAAGCAUGAAACACAAGCUCAACAAUUUUAUGCAGAGUACAAGAAGCGAUCAGAAUAAGCCAUUGGGGAAAAAAAGAAUAUAAAUGAGUUCAAGAGAUACCUAAUGUAGAUGUCUCUGUAUGGUAAAAUUGAUGGAGAUAUUUGAUGGGGAAAAAAAGGCCGCUGAAAUUAAAAUAUAUAUAUAAAAAUGGCAGCAUUACAGGACUAGGUUAGAGAGGAACAAAUCAUUUAUUAGAUUAAUUUAUUCCAUAUUUUCUGCGCAGAGAAUAUUACUUAUUUAAAUUUAUCUGACAAUUUUUUGGCUCAUGGUAAAUAUGCAAGAGGUACAUUUGAGCUGUGCAGCUUUGUUGCAUUUGGUCAAUGAAACCAUGUGGUAUUGUCUAGUUCCUGGACUGGAAGACUGUACAAGCUCUUCAGGUGCAAAUAUGGUACCCCCUGCCACCUCCCAAAUGAAAUUUUCCUGCAAGGAAUAUUUGUCUCAUUAAACUGGGUCACUGAAAUAUAUGCAGGAAUUCCAUGAGCAUACUAAAGUGAAUUCAGAUUAAAAUCUAUAGGGAUUAUCACAGUAAAUGUUUACGAUAUUUGCACAUCUCCAGAUCUCAUAUCCUCUGCCUGUUCUUGAAAUGCUUAUUUUCCCUAUAUAGCUUAGCCUGAUGUUACUUUUCUUACUUGUUCUCUCUCUAGAAUGGUACUUCCAGUGCUGACACUGUUCUGUCAGGCAAUCCUUACUAGAGAAGACAGGAUAUAAUUCUUGAAAAUACCCAUCCCCAAAGGCAAUAUUUUCAGAAAUUAUAGGAGGAAGAGGCCUUCUCUAGUUACCACUUGAUCACCAGCCCCAGUUUGCUUGGAGAUAAAGACGACACACUGUCACUUUCUCAAACACCCUCUCCUUAACCCAGCCAUUCUUAAAGAGACAGUGGGAUAAAUGAAAUUCAAGAUUCAAGAGGUGCCGCUUCCCUUGAAAAUAUUCCACCCACCAGAGAGGAGUUUCAGAAUCCAUUCCUAGCAGUUAAUGCUCCAUCCUAAAUGACAUCGCUUUUCAGUAGUGACAUGUGCAUUGAUCUGCAUUACAAAAAUAAAAGGAAUAGCACUUC